AAAAAAUUAUAUGCAUAUAGAAGUAGUAUAUAUAUAGUUUAUAUAAUAAACAUUGUAAUGCCAAUGUUGCCUUUAUCUGCAUUUGCACCUGCACCUUAAAUUAGUUUUCUUUUCCUUUUUUGAAAUUCAAGAAUCAAGUAUAUCUUGAUCUUGUUUAUUCAAGAAAAGAUUGAAACAAGCAAAAUAGGUGCAGAUGUAAGUGCAGAUGAAUGCCAUUUUGGUUAAUUUAGUUCCUACUCACUAAGAUUUUCCUGGCCAAACUCUUCAUAUUGUCCAUUUUUGGUGGUUUUAUGAAGUAAAUAUUUCAGUCAUUGGAGUGGAAUUCUUGAGGUUUUCUGGAAAAAUAGAUAGAUCCAACACAAAGCUAUAUAAAGCUAGGGUUUCUCAAGCUAAUAAGAUUUUUCAUCCCAAUCUCUUUAAAUUUCUUGAAAUUUUUUCGAUGAAUCAAGUAAUGGAAGUACUACAGUGAAGGACUUUAAUACAAUAUAUGUUGUUUUUGUUUAAUUAAAGUCAAUGAACCAAAAGAAUUGAAUAAUGAAAACCCUAGAUGAUUUUCUAAGAAUCUGAAAGAUAAUGUCCAUGUCAGAAAAAUUUGUCUUGAUUUCAAGAGAUCUUCUGUUUUGUAACUAUGUAAUAUAUAUGCAUAAAAAUAUAAUUAAAAGAUUCAAUUGAAAGGAUAAAAUCUGCAUUUUAUAUUAAAUAAUUAGUAAUUGUCAUUCAAAUCUCUUUAAUUUCUUAAUUGAUUAUGUUUCUAAAUAGGACAAAGAUGUUGAAAGGCAACUAUAAGCAAGCAUUGAUACAAGAAUAGUAUUAGAAAAUUGCAAGUUUCUUAUGAGUUUGCAUUAAGUUUCUUAAAUUGUCAUGAAGAACAAAUUCAACUUCAAUGGAUCACAAGAAGCACUUGAGAUAUCAUAGCACAGUUUAAGUAACUGUUUUAUCAUCUUUUAAAAUUUGGGUUUUAGGUUUUGUCAAUUGUCGAAAGGAAAAAGAAAAACCGCAAACCAGACUUGUACAUCCCAAAUUAAUUAGUAUCUAAAAGAAGUAAUUAUAAAAGUCUACUAAUUAGUCAAAAUUGGUGAGCAAAAAAGACUUGAGAGGCAACCUACUAGACUAAGAAUUAAGUUAAUUGGUUUAAAUUAGUGAACAGUUUUUUUUUUGACGAGAAAUUAGUGAACAGUUCAAAACAUAUUUUGGUAAGUAAAGAAGAUCAGAGUGAUAAAAAAAAUUUGUGACGAGGAUUGACUCCCCUGAACCGAAACCUAAGAUCAUUGUUAAAUUUCGGAAUGUAGAUUACCUGCAAGCUCACAUACCUAACAGAUCCGAGCUAUAAUGGUCAGUAAUCCAGUUCCAACCACUCCAUUUUUUAGAAAGAGAGUAACUGGGGUUUGAACCCGCGAUCUUGGCGCCUAGCUGACUGAAUUUAGACCAUUAGGUCAAACUCGUGCGGACAGAGUGAUAAAACUUAAAACAUAAAACCAUAGAUACAAUUUGUGGUUAGUUACAAAUAAAUUUAUAGUAUAAUUUUUAUAUAAAAUUAUAAUUCUACCACACGUCUUUUUAAAGUUGGUAAUUUCAUUUACCGUAACUUUUUUUUGCAGUUCUAUCUGUUUCAAAAUCUUGUGAUUUUAGCUAUCGUAGCUAUCAAAGUUAAACCAAACCUUUUACAGAUUGAUGCUGGCCUGUUUUUACCACAUAGUACAUGUCAGCUGAAAAAUCAUGGAACUUUACAACAUUGAUAGAAUUAUAAAAAAAAAUCGAUGGUAAAUAAAUUUGUUAACUUUAAAAGAAUGUGACUGUAAUUUCAGAUAAAAAAUGUGAAUUUAUUUGUAAGUAACCUAAAAUUUAAGUGCACUUAAAUGUAUUUACUUUGUUUUGAAUGGUAUGAGACUAUGAGCGAAGCAGAAGGUUGAUGAUUAGUAUACCAAAAGAAGCUUGCUCAA